rnacentral:rRNA from 1 species
UAUGAUGGCCAUACCAAUCUGAACAAGCCCAAUCCCAUCUUAUCUCGGAAGCUAAGCAGGGUCGGGCCUGGUUAGUACUUGGAUGGGAGACCACCUAGGAAGACCAGGAGCUGUAGGUG